rnacentral:rRNA from 1 species
AGCGAACGCUGGCGGCAGGCUUAACACAUGCAAGUCGAGCGGGCCUUUCGGGGUCAGCGGCGGACGGGUGAGUAACGCGUGGGAACGUGCCCUCUGGUUCGGAAUAACUCAGGGAAACUUGAGCUAAUACCGGAUACGCCCUUUUGGGGAAAGGCUUGCUGCCGGAGGAUCGGCCCGCGUCUGAUUAGCUAGUUGGUGAGGUAACGGCUCACCAAGGCGACGACCAGUAGCUGGUCUGAGAGGAUGAUCAGCCACACUGGGACUGAGACACGGCCCAGACUCCUACGGGAGGCAGCAGUGGGGAAUAUUGGACAAUGGGCGCAAGCCUGAUCCAGCCAUGCCGCGUGAGUGAUGAAGGCCUUAGGGUUGUAAAGCUCUUUUAUCCGGGACGAUAAUGACGGUACCGGAGGAAUAAGCCCCGGCUAACUUCGUG